UUCACAGUUGCUGCCAUCAUUAGGAACUUUAGAAUGGAGAACAGGACUGAAAGAGAACCACGACGUGGAGGAAGAACAUGCACUUUCACAGCCGAACAGGAGACUGACAUUGUGAAAAUGGAAUGCCAUGCGGAUGAAACAAGUGUACAGGGUCCUAUUUGACCGGAACACAGACCACAUCAAGGAUUUACGGCAAGAGUUUCAGAUCCAGGAGCAUGACACAGCUAAUGAGCUAAAUAAAUACAUAUUCAUUGAUGAGGUUGGAUUCAACCUGGUGAAGAGGAGGCGCCGGGGCAGAAAUGUCAUUGGCCAGCACACCAUUGUUUAGGUCCCUGCCGAGCGUGGUGGGAACAUCACUUUGUGUGCUGCAAUGGGUUGAGCAGGCCCGUUGACAGUGCUGUACUGUUCAAAAAACUUUUUUUAUUGCAUACUGGCUGUUU